GAAACUGACGGUCCCUGCAGAAUACGCAAGGACUAAUUCCGUGCCCGCAGCCGCUGUAAUACGUAGGGUGCAAGCGUUGUCCGGAAUUAUUGGGCGUAAAGAUCUCGUAUGUGGUUCGUCACGUCUGAUGUGAAACUCUGGGGCUUAACCCCGGACCUGCAUUCGAUAC
rnacentral:rRNA from 1 species